AUUAGCUCAGCAGGAUAGAGCAUCGGACUUCUAAUCCGGCGGUCGGGGGUUCGAAUCCCUCAUG
rnacentral:tRNA from 1 species